rnacentral:lncRNA from 1 species
GCCAGCUGCCAUGUUCUGAGUACUCUCUGGAAGGGCCUGCAUGGCAAGGAACUGAUGUUUCCAGCCAGCAGCCAGCAAGAACUGCAAGCCUUGUGAAUGAGCUUGGAAGCAGAUCCUCCCCUCACUCAAGCCAUGAUAUGACAACAGCCUGAGACCCAGAGGAUGAAGGAGCCGAGGAAGACAGACAGAAUGUGGGAGAGGCUGGAGCUGGCUGAGAAGCAAAGACAAGGGGGACACAGAGGGACAAGCCACCCUGUCCCUGAGAAUUCCCCAGUUUUCUGGCCAAUUUGGGUGAAACCCAGCAACUCUUUGUGUUCCAUCCGUCGAUACUGUGAGGUCUCUCUAUACACUCAGUAAAUGCUCCUUUUUACCUCACUGGACUAAUGCUUUUUAGAGUCACAUGCAUGCUGACUUCAACAAAGCAAAUUGUUUAUCUGAAUCAACUCUGCCGUGUACCAUGUCCAGUCACUUGAAUUUCUAUUUCAUCUUUGACUCUCCAUUUGCUAAUUAUGACUUUGGGCAAAUCUUUUGUUCACUCUGUGUAUUUGUCCAUUUUCACAUUGCUGUAAAGAUACUGUUGAGACUGGUAUCUUUAUAAACUGGUAAUUUAUAAACAAAA